AGAAAAUCUUAAAGGCUUUGAGGCGGGUAAAAGAAAUUACCUAGGAAGGAAUGGAAAUUAGGUAGCAGCCUUCUCAAAGACGUCUUUCAAGAAUAAAGGGAAAACCACCAUCGAGCUUGGAGUUUAUACCCAGCUAAACUACUACUGAAAAGUGGGAGAAAAACAGGGCCAUUUUCAAACUUGUAAAGACUGUGGAAGUUUGCCACCCGCCAGAGUUCCCCAAAAGAACUUCCAGGGACCAUGCUUCUAAAAAAAGAAAAGCAGGAAUAGAGAUAUGGAAUGAAAGUUAACAAAUAACUGCAAUUACAUAUUUCCUUAAGUAUUUUUAUUUUUUUAAUUUUUUGUUUUUCUUUAAAAUUUUUUGCUGUUUUAUUUUGUUGUUCAUAUUUAUUUAUUGUGAUUAUUAUCUUUUAAUUGAAAACAUACUAAGUUUUAAAGGGGGAAAUUAAACUCUAGACAGCAACAACGGGACUGGGAAAUAGGAAGACAAAGUGUGUGAAGGUCCCUGUAGUCGUAAUUAGGAGGGGAAGCAUACUGAAUAAUUUUACACUUUGUUGGACAAAUGCAUAUGUUAGAAAUUUAAAGUAAUCACUAAAAGAAUAAAAAUAUAACCCACUUAUUCCAACCUAACAGAGAAAAUGAGAAAAACAUACUAAAAAAAAAUUUAGUUCAACAGAACAUAGAAAAGGAGAAAAAAGGGCAAAGAAUGAAAAUUCUAUAGAACAUGUAAAACUAUAUGGUUGAAAUUAAUCCAAAUAUAUCAUUAAUCACAAUAAGUAUAUAUGGAUUAUACUUAAUUGAAAGGCAGAAAUUAGCAUCUUAGGUAGAAUAAAACAGGCUCCAAAAUGUCACAAGACAUGCACCUAAAGCUAAAAUAUACAGAAAAGUUAAAACUAAAAGGACAGACAAAUAGGGGCUGGCCCUGUGGCUGAGUGGUUGAGUUCGCAAGCUCCACUGCAGGCGGCCCAGUGUUUCCUCGGUUUGAAUCCUGGGCGCGGACAUGGCACCGUUCAUCGAGCCACGCUGAGGUAGCAUCCCACGUACCACAACUAGAGGGACCCACAACUAAGAAUACACAACUAGGUACCUGGGGGCUUUGGGGAGAAAAAGGAAAAAAAAAUUAAAAAUCUUUAAAAAAAAAAGGAUAAACAAAUAUAUUCUACGCAAAUAAUAAUCCAAAACAAACUGAUAUAGCAGUAUUGGUAGGAGACAAGUUUAAUUUAAGGCAAAACAUCUUAAUGAGGAUAAAUAUAAUACAUACACCACUCAAUAACAAUAGGACAAUUAUCACCAAGUUACAGGAAUCAUAAAUUUGUACGUGCCUAAGCAAAGAUCCUCAAAACAGAGAAAUCCUAAAUUAACAAAAUUAGAAGGAGAUAUUGACAAGUUAACAAAGAAUUUAACAUAAUUGUAUUAGAAUUGAUAGGUCAAGCCUACAAAGCACUAGUAAGAAGAAAGUCUUUGAAUAAUUUUGUUAAUGGAUCUCCAAGAUCUAGCGGCCAAAAUUGAUCUAACAUGGAACAUUCUAGCCAACAAAUGUAGAAUGUGUUUUUUUCAACAAUUCUUGGAACUUUUAAAUGAUGGAUCUCUAAAUGAAUGUUUCUCAGGCCACUUCUUCUUCUGAACAUACGUUUUCUUCCACGUUUCACUCACAUUUACUCUAUGACUUACGUCUUCCAUGUGUCUGCUGAAGAGUCAUCAACCCAGUUAGACGGUGUCUGCCGUGGCCGUGAUUUGAGACUGAUGCGUCUCCUGGGAGCUUCCCAACUUGACCAAUAUCUUCCUCUUCAGCUUUUGAACAGUCGUUAGUGGAAGAUUUAGUCACAGUGAUGUCAACUGAAUUUAAACUUGUGGCCUUGAGUUCCGAGGCGCUCACGUUAGUUUGCGGAAGAAGAAAGUUUCUGUCUGGGGCCCUGCCUGCCUUUGGAGUAAGACAAUCCAACUGUUAUCUGUGCUCCUUGGACGUCUUCCUGAGAGACAGUGCAUGGAAUGUAGUGGAAUAAACCCGAAGGUGACAGACAGUCACCAGGGCCCUGUAGUGUCGUCACUAGCCCGGUUACCUUAGCCUUUUAUGGUCUUUCCCAAAGAGAACAUAAUUAAGUUAUCAUACUGGGUCAGGGUAAACGUGUCCUCUGGCCCAAGCCAUCACUCCAGGCUCCCAUUGCAGGGCUGGAACACUUCCUGUUUUCCCUUUCCCGUGACGGAGAAGAAUUAAUAUGCCGCCCUUUGUAAGUGACAGUGAUGCCACGGUGUUACUCUCAGCUGGUCGAUCAUUGUGUCAAUGAUAAGAGGUUUCCAUGGAGCCACAACAACCACUUCCAUCCCCACACUCCUUCCCAGUCUACCAAGCCCCUUCCUAUGUGGUUUCAUCUGAUAUUACCCACAAUCUGACCAUGGAGGCAAGAGAGGCAUUAUUAUCUCUGCUUGAGGAACUUGAGACUAAGACAAUUAAAAACGACAUCUGGAAUUUCACAUGGCUCUGUGGAGAUGAAAGAAUUAAAACCUGCAUUUUCUAACUCAAAUUUUCUUUCACACUCUUCUUGGCCUCUGACAAACGCUGCAAGCUGGAUUCAUGGAGGUAGAGUGCAGUGUGCAGCCCAGGAGCAUAUUUAAUUCUACCAGACAGAGCAGAGCCGUGAGCAAAUUCUUCCUGGCUGAAAGAAGGGAACACGUUCGUAAGCUGGAGACCCAGACCUGUGAGGGGUGCAACUUCCUGUUUCCCUGGCGAAUGCUUCAGAAAACACUCAGCUGGGAAUGUUAAAAUUUCCAUUCAUCGCCGCCCUCCAAGGCUCGUGGAAGGAUGGAUGGGCUGAUCACACAGCGGUCGAACUAGCCUGGAACCAGCCUGAAUGAGCUGCGGGACGAUGACAGUUUCUAGCAGGAGCCUGAAAACAAUUCAUCCAAAAGGAGACGCGAGAGAAAAGGAAGAUGUGCCAUUGUGAACUCCAAAGCAAUGCAUUCUCUGCCCUGGAAAGGAGAGGGGAGGCCAGACCCCAAAACCACUUGAGGAGCCUAUUGAAAAUGCAGAUUCCUGACUCCCAGGGAUUCCGGUGGGGUAGGGCCCAGGAAUCUGGGGUUUUGUUUAAGCAGCUGCCCAGGAGAUGCUAAAGCGGAUGAUCUCUGAGCCAGCCUUUGACAAGCACUGAUUUCAUGUCUCCUGGAGCCAAACGGGCAGCAGCCACCGUGGUAGGAAGCACCUCCAACUCAACCACAGGGUUACGGGCCAAGUCAGUGUCUCGUCCCCUGCCAAGCCAAGGUGGCCCUUCAGGGCCCAGUAGCGCAUCCAACGUGGUGACCACGAGCCACACAGACCAGCAAGCGUGUGAAAUGCAGCUGGUCCAAAUUGAGAUGAGCUGCGAAUGCAGCCCUGACCCUGGAUCUCGAAGACUUGGUAUGAGCAAAAGCAUGU
rnacentral:lncRNA from 1 species